UAUUAGGUGGCUGAAUUAAAGCUUUGGCCUCUUAAGUCAACAAUAGUUUUUACUCCUAAUAA
rnacentral:tRNA from 1 species